GGACAAGAAAAAGGGGAAGUUCUUUGAAACCAGAAAUGGUGGAAGCCUUGGUGUGCGGUGCUAGUUAUAUCAAAGGUUCUCACAAGGACUUCAAUGUGGUGGAGAGGGAUGAAGAUGAGGAGGACGAUGUUGAGAAUAUCAAGUUGCCCAAGAUUGUUGAUGUGGGGGGUGACAACAAUUGAUAUUCGCCAUGUGGGUGUUGCUCUUGCUAUUUUGAAGAUGGAUGUCUACAUGAUCUUCUCAUGUGGAUUGUUGAGGUCAACGUGAUCAUCUCGUGCCAUUUCUUUUGCUGUGAUGAACUUUGAAUUAUGUGUGCUGUUGUGAUGAACUAUGGACCUUGAAUGAUGUUGUGAUGAACCAUGCACUUUCAACAAUGUUGUUGUGAACUUGUGAUGAACUAUGAACUUUGUAUUAUGUGGUUUUCGCUAGUCAUUGUUUG